rnacentral:sRNA from 1 species
GAAUUCUCCUUUCUCACCGAUGCCCUUUGAUUCCCGAAAAACUCGUUCCGAUCUUCAUCGAAAACCUGCAAAUCGAGCACAACAGCAUAAUAAUCAAUAAGACUAUGUAUGACUUCACUAUUCACAAGGAUAUUACACCUAUUGGAAGGCCCGACCACUAUGACCUAGACGAGUUUGGUGCGGUGGAUCUGGACUCUGUAGUGGAGCCGCACAACGAUGAAAUUCUGAUUGAUACACGAAAUGUGUUUUCUGAGCAAGUGAGAAUUAGCGGAGAGAUGCGGGAUAUUACAUUAGAAUCUCGGCGAAUCGCAAAGAUUCAAGAUGACGAUCAGCGAGCUCUUCAACAGAAAAACCUUGAUCAAAGGGUUCUGAUGCACGGAGUCAAUGCUCUUCGGCUAAUUGCUCGGGAGUGUCAAACAGAACUCACUGGCUUUCCAGUCCCGGCAGUUUAUUCCAUGAAGUUUGGAAUUAAUAAACUUGAACCUAGACGACACGUGAUUCAUGGAGAGCUUCUGACUUACAAAAGAAAAAUACAUGAUGCUAUGAAACACCUGAUUGUGAAGCUAUUUUGUGGAAGAUCGAGCUUCAAGGUAAAAAAUCUGAAAAUUGAUUCCAGGGGUAUUCUUCGAAUCCCCAAAUCUUUGAACCUCAAAGUUCAGCAUCUACUGAUACCAAGUGAAGAAUUGGAUAAGAUCCUUGAAGCCAUCCGCCCUAAUUUAAGUUCCUUGGAAUCCUUGGAAUCAUUGACUAUAGAAAAGACCUAUGAAUUUCAAAAUCCGAUGGUUCAAGCUAUUCCCCUAAUUAUUCUUAAAUAUGGCUAUGGAUAUCAUACUCUUUUGAGAAUCAACACCGGAUACCCUAGAAUUCAUGUCACGCACUCUAUUAACAGAAUAUCAGAGACUAUUCGAAUAUGGUUGGAGGAGGGCCGGGAAAUUGGAACUUGCUGGACGUUUGAAUCUGAACGAAAAGCCGAAGGAAAAGUUUUCAUGGCGGAUUUGAAGAAAGAUACUCGAGGCACGACUUUGGAGGGGUAAGGACUCUUACAAUAGUUCAAAGUUAAAUCACUUAUUUUUCAGGCCACCAGGAUCCUUCCCUACUAUCAUUUUUCGAAUGAGUGACUCUACGGAGCUCCGCGUAACUUACGAGUUCAGCAAAAUAAUCAAUACCGUCUGGAAUAUUGCCCUUACAAUUCAUGCGAGCAGUCAAUGAAGCCAGAAAACUUGUUCAGUAUAUUUUUUUGAAAACUCGUUUAAAUAAAUAAUUCCAUACAAGACUUUUUAAAUUCUGGCAGCCAAACUUCCCAUAGAAUGCACCUAGGUUUCCUUCCUACUGACCUAAUUUCCCAGUUACACGGAGCGAGCCCUGACCAGUCGAUACAUUUGCGUCGACGUCUCCUCGCAUUCCACCCUUUUUGCCACUCAAAAAUGUCUACUGCAAACCCGCUAUCCUACUCGAGUCUGAAAUGUGUUAUUGGAUGGUUGGAGUUCAAUUUAAGGUGAGAUCUUUGUCUUCUGGUUUUCCGGUUUUCUAUUUUUCAAAAAAUGCUUUUAAUGUUCAGAAUCCAACUCUCCCUACGCUGUCCAGACCUACGGUGUGCGGAAAAAUCCGCGAAUCUGCAUCUCAAAAAUCUCGAACUGUCCCAAAACAGUGUGAUAGUCAAUGGAACGAUUUAUCGAUUUUUUGUGAUCAACUCAACAUGCAAAGAUAAACUUCCAUAUGACCUCGAUGAGUUCGGUGCGAUGGAUUUUGGAGCAAUCGCAAACGAUUCUUCGGAAGUUUUAUUUGAUAGUAGAGAAGAGCACACUGAGCGUUCCAGAGUGGCUAGCAAAUUGUACAGUUUGAAGCGAGAACCAGAGAGAAUCGCUCAAAUAGAGGAUGAAGAAGUUCGAGCUGCAGAGCAGGAAAAAUUCAAUGAAAAAGUACUUGCUCACCAGGCAAAUGCUCUUCGUUCUAUCGCUCGCUUGAGUAAAAGCCAAGUUCCACUUGAAAUACAGGAGGCUGAGCCACUCACCCAGUAUCUAAAAUUAGAGUCUGGAGUACUACAUCCACGGCAGCUCUGGUUUUCAGCGCCACCGAUUCUUGGAGAGAAACGGGUGGAGGUUUUGAAAUAUUCUAGACGGCUUCACAGCGCUGUGAAGUAUCUGGUGGAAAACUUGAUCGGCGGUAGAGCUCAAGUAAACAUUCAAAAACUGUCUAUCAAGCCACAAGGAGUACUUCGGUUACCGAAAACUUUAAAGUUCAAAAUCUCGGAACUAGAUAUAGGAUGUUGGGAAACCGAGAAGUUGCUCAACACAAUCAAGCCGCUGCUCACAUUCUCCAGCUUCCCACUGAAAUCCCUGUCCAUUUACGGAGACUCUCAUUUUGCGGACCCCAUUAUUCAAAUUUCCCGGCAACUUUGCAUCAGCACACAGGUCGCAAUUGCUAGGUUAGCUAAUCUGCGAUAUGGCCAUCGAAAUGUUUUCGUGAAGAAAAUGAGCAAAUAUAUGAUUAAUGAUUUUUUGAAGUUGACCAAAAGUUUCGUGGAAAAUGGACGGGAUCUUGGAUCGGUAUAUAGUUUUACCUUUACAAAGGAGUAAUUAGCCAAAGUUUGUUUUGAGGAUGCUCGAGAUUUUGCGGAGAGUUCUGGCAAAUUGAGAAGGUAAGCUUAUUAGUUUUAAUACGGUAGUGGUACUGUAGAACCACUCUAGUGGAUCUGUAGUAUUACUGUAGUGGCACUGCAGAAUUACUUUAGUGGAACUGUACAUAAGAUUACUGUAGAGUUCCUGUAUGACAACUGUAGCGGUACUGUAAGAUUACUGUAGAGGUCCUGUAAAGCAAUACUGUAGGAUUACUGUAGGUGUCCUGUAUGAUAACUGUAGUGGCAUUGUAAAAUUACUGUGGAGAUCCUGUGUGAUAUCUGUAGUGGUACUAUAGGACUACUGUAGUAGCACUGCAGGUUCAAUCUAGUUGAACUGUAGGAUUACUGUAGCUGCACUGUAAAAUAACUCUAGAAGUUAUGUUGCUGUAGAAAUACUGUUCCUGCAGGAUUGAUGUGCACAUUUCUCACGAUUCCUUGUUUGAUUUUCAGAUCGGAACCAUCCCUGAUCGUUGUUCGAAUGAAGAACACUGCGGAACUCCUUAUAACUCUACAAGCAGAGGAAAACCAGGAGAAUCAUUGGAUUGUGAAGUUGGAGGUUCAAGAAAUCAGUGGUGGCAAUAAUAAAAAUCCACUGGAGUAAUGCUUGUUUUUAAGACAAUAAAGUGUUUUUGUUUACUGCAGUGGAAAAAUUUUAAAUUGCUCAAUUUUAGAAUAAAAUAUUUAGUGUAAACUUUUUGAAUGGUACUGUGGAAGUUCUGUAAGUUAGUCUGCAAAUUUAUUGUAAAAUAAGAUAAAAAUUAAUCCAGAUCACUUCUAUAAUCCGCUGCAUAUCUGUAACCAUCAGAAUUACACGGAUUGCACUGGAAGGACACUUUCAGCACGUUAGUAUACGAACUGUAGUACUUAUAAACGUCAUCGUUAGUAAGUAUUGCGAAUGGGCCGACGUCAUCAAUUGCUCCGUAGAGCAUCAUUUUCAAAUUAGAAGAGUCCAUGAUCAGAUCCGUGAAUCGAAUUUCAGGAAUGGAGUUUUGUGGUGCAACAAUUAUGUAGGUGCAAGGAAUAGGAGUUCCAUAGUGUUUGUGCGCUAUGAACUGAAACCAAAUUUCCUAGUUUACUAAUAUUUCGACACGCCAAAUUUGCAUCUUGGAAGAGCAUCGGUGUAUUGAGCAACUGAAAAUUCAAAUUUAAAUUUUAGAAAUCAUUCAAACAACUCACCUUAACACAAGUUGCAUUAUUAUUGAUACUCGUGAACCCAUCGCGACAACGUGCUGGACUACGUGGAGUUGUAGUUGUACUUCUUAUGUAGGUGGUGGUGAUAGUUUCAAUAGUUACGGUACUACUCGGUAAGGGAACUUGACAUAUAUAUCCCAACAGCGCGUUUUGAUUAGACACCCAUUUUCCAGCGAAACUUCCCGAUUGCAACAGAGAUACAUGUUGUCUGACGCUCACAUCGGGGUUGCCUGAAGUUUAAGUUUUACAACUUUACAACUUUUUAUCUGUGUUCACCUGAAACUCGAAUUCAAUCUUAGAAAUGAGUACACCUACUAAUUUGCACACAAGUUUGAUCAUUCAAUAGAGAGAAGCCACUGGGGCAGCCAGAAUAGUCACGAGUAGUUGUGGUUGGUGUUGUUUACCAAUCAAAAAGCUUUGAGGGAGAAAUUGCCCCGAAUUGCAGAAGAAAUAAUACGAAAAACUUCAUCUCGCGACUUCUUUUUCAGAAAUCAAAUGGCUUUUACGCAAAUUUUCAACAAGUCAUAAGCCUCUUAACUAUGAUUAUCAGCUUCUGAUAACGAUUCUUUCGAAAUAUCUAAAUUUUGAUGUGGAACCGGACUAUGAAGAGAAUCGAAUGAUCAGUGUGUUGAAAUAUGUAAUACUGUAUGAUUAGAACUGAAACUAUGUAGUACUACUGUAAUAUUACUGUACUUGAAUUGAAAUUUACAAAUUAAAGGUUCCCAGGAAUACAUAUUACUGGAUUGUGAACUUGGAUGUUCAUGAAAAUCAGUGGUGGCAAUCUAAAUUCUCUGGAGUGUUUCUGUGGAAUAUCGCUACAGCUUGCAUAAUCAUUCAUUCAGAAAAUCAACUCAAGAAAGAUCAGUUCCAUAGUUUACUGCCCAAAUGUAAUUGUCAAUAGUAGUUAACGGACAGUUGAACACGACUCUAAGCACGUUUGUAGUAGAGCUAUAGACCUCGAAAGUGUUUUCGGUAACUAUAGCAAGUGGCUUUGUUUCAUCUAUUCCUGAGUAGAGAACUAUUGUCCGUCCCAAUGGAAGGUGUAGCUCCGCGAAUCGAAGCUGAGCAAUGGUUCCUGGAGGCUCAGUGAUUAGGUAGGUGCACGGAUUUGGGUAGCCGGAAAAGCCAUAAGAGUAGUUCGGAGAGUAGAACUGCAGUUGCGUGUAUUUUGAAGUGUCAUAGAGGUCUGAUUUCACUCACCGUUCCUUUUCCAGAUAAAAACUGAGUUUCAUUACAUUGCCCAGAGACAUAAGGUGCUGGCGUUGAAAAAUGCUUUGGAUGCUUGCAGAUAAAUGGAAUCUUAUUGCUACAGUCAUUGCUCAACCAUUGCCCCUUCGAAACCACACUCCCACUCAUCGACAGGCUUGAGCAUUUUCCGAGGUUUGUGCCAAAAUACCCAAAGUUGGAAUAAUCGAAGAAGCUCCCGUCAACCCAAUAUUUUCCUACUCCAUCAGUAGCAGCUCCAGUUCUAAACUCAUCAAUCACCGUAUUGCUGAUCAAGGACUGGAUGAAGUCGUUCUCAGCCUGGGAGUGAAUUGACACCAAGUCUUCUGAAAGGCUCAGGCAGAAUUCCCGGGCGUCAGGUUCACUGAGCAAGUAUGUGUUUACUGAGUAGCAAAAGUGAAAAAUCAAAAUUAGCGGAGUUUCAGCAGCCGACACAUUACUUGAUUUGGGCACUUCGCAAAAGAAGCUGUGAGUGGAGUAGUCUUCAUCCGACGAGAACCACUUCCCUAUAUCACUUCCCAAGGCCCACAUGUAGCCGCGCGGUCCUCUAACAGGUUUUGGAUAUCCGCUAGUAAAGUUGUUAUAGUUGCUAGUUGUUCCAGAGCCAUCAGUCCAUUCGCAGGAGGAAGGUGACGGAGAUUGGCAGGUCAAGCCGAGCCAAAUUGUUUUGGUCUUAUUGUUGAGGGCAGCAAGGUUCAAGAGCGCCGUGUUGUCCUGAAAUUGGAAAUUGAAGAUUAACACUUAAGUCCAUACUUUAAAAAUAAUUACCUCUGCACUAUGAAUUGAAACCAAGUUGCCUCCGCCACUAAUAUUCCUACACACAAGGUUUGCACCCUGGAAGAUCAUCGGCGUAUCGAAUAACUAAAAAAUGUUUUAUUAAUUUGAUCAGAAGCCUCUGUGAAACCUACCUUAACACAAGUAAUGUCAUUGAGACUUGAGGAUCCCGCUGGACAACGUCCUGGAGCUUCGGGCGUCGUUGCAGGUGCUCUGGUGGAUAUGGCGGCGGUGGUCGCUGUAAAUUUUUUUUUCAGAUUUUCAGAUGGUUCUACAGAUAAAUUCUUACUCUGCAACUUCACAAAUAUAUCUAAACUGCGAAAAAUCAUCAGCGGACACCCACUUUCCAGCCGCGCUGCCCGAUUGCGCCAUCAACGUGUAAUUUCCGGCAUACAAAUUCGGGUUUCCUGGAAUAUUUUUUUUUCUAAUUUCAGCAUCCAUUUCUAGCUGUCACAUUUUACCUGCAUCAAAGUUGUUAUAGUUGGAGGUGUCGGAACUAUGGUCCGUCCAGUUGCAUGGCUUGUUGGCGUCACUGCAGAUCAGCCCGAUCCAUUUAGGAUCGUAUGAGAUUGAAGAUUGAACAAGUGCUCUGUUGUCCUGAAAAGAUGAUAUACCGGAUGCUAGCAGCAGACAUCUAGCGGGUUGCUCAACUUACAAUCGAAUUAUGAAUUGACACCAAACUCCCACCGGAGAACAUUUGACAUGCGGCCAAUGCAUCUACGAACUUUUUUUAUUUGCGCUCACCUUAACAAGGACCAACUAUAUUACAGAAAAUAAUAGACCUACUAACCUGUAUACAGGUGUAACCAUUGAGUUCGGUAAACCCAUCCGGGCAAAAGGAAUAGCUGGAAGUCUGUGUAAAGUGCAGGAGAAAAAAUGAAAAUAAAAUGAAAAACUUCAUCCUGUGAUUGCUUGUUCAGUCAGCGAAUGACUUUUACGCAAUUUUUCGCGAGUGAUAAGCCUCUUAUUCAUUUUUAAUCAGUUUUUGAUAACGAUUCUUCCGAAGAAAUUUGAAAUUUGAUGCGGAGUCGAACUAUAAAGAAAAUCAAAUGAUCAAUGUUCAGAAACGUUUUUUUUCUUCAAAAUUAACUUUUUGAUCGAGAAAAAAUGGUAUUAUAAAGACGGAUGAAAAUUGAACUAUUCAGCUGAAUCCCUCACAGUUUGACGUCCAAAAAUUGCGGGAAACUUUUUCGUGAGGCCUAUUGCAUGACGUCAUCUUUAUUGUGUGCACGGGUUUAUUGCUUUUCCUAGUGCCCGCGAAAUCGAGAUUCGAAUUUUUAUCGGGGAAGACAAAUUCAACAGUGAAAACCUAGGGCCCCCAGCCACGACGGCACGCUCUUUUCAAUGUGCUCUUUUUCUCAGCGCAUACCACUCUCCACGUCUUUUCCACUCUUCAAGAAUGCAUUAGGGCGCGAUUGCUAUCGCCCGUGCGGGAAAAAAUUUGACGGGGGAAAUAAUUAGCCCGUGCGUGUGACUGGUAUGAAUGUGACACGUGGUGUCAGGCUGUCCCAUUACGGUUUGAUCUACAAAAAAUGCGGAAAUUUUUCGCCCAAAAAAAUGUGACGUCAACACGUUCUUAACCAUGCGAAAUCAGUUUAAAACUCUGCGUCUCUUCUACCACAUUUUUUGUAGAUCUACGAGGAUCUAACCGUGAUGGGACACCCUGACACCACUGUGCUUGGCCUCUUCCCUGUUUCCCCCUCUUCCCGGCUCGGCUGGAAACGCGCACAGAACGUAUAAAUGGACCCUAAAAAUCAAUAAGUAGGUAGCUAGCGCGUUAUACAUGUUCUAUUCUUGUUUCUCUCAUUCUUUUCUCUGUACAAUCCCUGGAUUUCUUACGUUCCCCACUGGAUUCUCUAUGCAAUAAUUUUUGUUUCAGAUUAUGCUGCUCGCUUAUCAAUCUGUCAUAGCCUCUAUCACUUAUUUGAAUCCAAAUAUCAGGUUUAUUUUUUUCGAUUUUCAACCACUUACAAAAAUAAUUUUUCAGAUUCCAACUGUCCCGUCGUUGCCCAUCACUAAAGUCUGCAGAAAAAUCAGCACCUCUUUUUAUCAACAAGCUGAAAUUGUGUACAAACAGCGUAGUUGUUAACGAUAUCAGCUAUGAGGUUGAUGUCUACAAAACCUCGGAAGCGGUAUUGCUGACGUAUAAUACAGAUUUGGAUGUGUUUGGUUCCAUCGAUUUUGAUCUGGAAAUUGAGGAACAAAAUGAAAUAUUACUGGAUCACAGAACGUACAUGGCUGAGAGAAUGAGAUUGGAAAGAGAAGUUCUAGGUUUGAUGACACACUCUCGAAAUCCGAAUGCCGAUUUGAGCCGACUAAUGGAGAUUAAUAGAUUGAACAAAAUUCGAAUUCAAGCUCGGGAGGACAGAAGGGAAGUACCCAACACUCCACCGGAGCCUCCACUUGUACAGGUCAUUGAGUUUGCAGUCAUGGAGACGGAUAAUUAUGGCGACUGUUUAGAAAAUGAGCAGCUUACCUAUGAUCGAAAACUUCAUGAUGCUGUUAAGUAUAUCAUGGAGAAGCUUUUCUGUGGCCGAAAGACUCCGGUUCACCUAUCUACUUUAUCAAUCAAUAGUUUUGGAAUUCUACGGAUUCCAUUAAACAUGAGAUUCAAGAUCCGACAUCUGAAGCUGGUAUCUGGUCAUGCAAAUGAAAUCGCAAGCAAAAUUCGGCCGAUCAUUGAAGACUCGAGUUUCCCGUUGAAAUCUAUAAUAAUCAAGGAUCCAGUCGAGUUUGACGAUCCGAUCUACCACUCCACACAACUCCUCGUUCUUAGACAUCAGCUUGAGAACCGAUCACCAAGGUUUCUAAACGUCAAAGUUCUGCCAAAUCAAUUGUAUGUUACGACUAAAAUAUUGAAUUGGGUACAACAAGCCCGGCCAGUUGGGACAUGUUGGGAAUUUGUUGGAAUUGAUAAGAACUCAAAAAGGCAGUGCGUUCAAAAACUCAUGCAAAUACCUGGCGCGAUGCGUGCAUUGCACACAAAGUAAGUUUUUGCUUACUUUUAAUAUUCCAGUUGUAAAAUUUAUUUCAGGUUAUGUUGGAUCAUUCUACCAGCAAACGACGAUUCGGAAAUCCACGUCACUGUCGCUCAAGAUAAGAUAAAUUCGAAGCAAUUCAGCAUAAAGUUAACCGUUUAUUGAAGAUUUGUUGAAAUUUCAAGUUCUAAUAAAAUUUCUGAAUUUCUAAAAUUUUUGUGCUAGGGUUUCACGACUUUCGAAACAGUUGGUGUAGCCUAUGAUCUGUAAGCCGAAUCGAUGUUACCUCGUGUUAUUUUGGAAUAAUUUUUUUAAUACGUCAACACAAAAGUUAGAACACAAAUACAAUGCAAUAGACUGACAUCUGAAACUAAAUGACAUUUGACAACGUUAGGAGCUAUCUGAACGUUGAAUGAAUUAAACGGUAAGGGCCGGCUGGGGUUCUACAUUCAUUUAUUGGUACAAAUAGGAAAGAUAAAUAAUACAAUAUUGGAGAUGGUAUAUAUAGGUAGGAAAAAUAGGCGGAGCCAAGAUGCUGUGGUGUUAGGGAUAAGAGAGUUUGAUGGGGACAGAAAAAGGUGGGAGGAAAGUCGGCGUACAUCAAAGGAUGAUUGUUUUUGACUUAGACGUUAUUAACAAUUAAAACAAUAAAUAAAAAUAUAAUUCAAUUAUUAAUCCAUUAUUAAAUUCCUUGGCUUUUGCUUGAUUGAGGUAUGAAUCAUGCAAUGAUUUCAUACAUUGAACGUUAAACACAAAAUUGGGAAAAAUUCUACAAUAUAUUUGACUACAUAGGAACUGCCGAACAUUUUACGCAACUUUAUAGGACAUGGGGAAUCAAUUAGUAGUGUUUAUAGACAAGAGUGUUUAUAUGAAAAAGGCAAGUGAGCUAACAGACGAGUUGCACAGUUAUUCCGAAAACUUUCCAUUGGAGCACUUAGAAGCUGGUGGUCUUUUUUUACCGGAUAUUGCGUUUGAACUAAAACUGGAAUAUUCGUACAUUCAAAAGGAUAUGUUGCAUGCAAUUGUGGUUUAAACAAUAGGAAUACUCAUCAAGGAAAACGGAACUUUUAAAAUUAAUAUUUUGUCUUCACGAGUUGGUUCAAGAUGAUUGUUUUGACAAGCCACAUGUUGGUGAAAUCCUCGAUGAUUUUUUGCCGUUCCAAUGAUUUUUGGUCUGUAUCAAACCGAUCGAGAUUUACAAAACCGCAUAGAAACUUCUGAAACCAUUUAGUCUUUUUUUGUAGACUUUUCGAGAAAAAAUUCAAAAAAUUCAAACAAUGAGGAUCAUAAGAGUUCUUGAAUAAAGUGUAACUUAUGUGGUUUUUUGAAACUUUGUGAAAUCAUGGAAAAGAAAUUUCGAAGAAUUCAAGUCUUCAAGAUUAUUCCCAAGUUAUCCGUAGAUUCCUGGAAAAUUUCGAAGUGUUCUUAAAAGCUUCCCAAUUAGCGAACAAAGUCAAGACCCUCCAUGGAGUGUUCAAACGGCUGCUUGUAUGAAAUAAAAGACAAAAAACACAAUUCACACAAUUCAUUUCAAGACAUGGGACACUUUACAAGAAGAAGAAAGAAAGAAUGGGCAUCAAGAGAGCAAUGGUGGAGAACGAAGUAUUUGCUUCCGAUUUAGCUUCGAUUUCGGCAGCUUCAGCUUUACCCGCUUUGAAAUCAUCGGAUGAUUUAUAGUCAGAAGCCUUGAUUUCUUCACUGAAAAACACUAUUAUUAUUUUUUGCCUUAAGUAUGUCUUCCUCACUUUGGGCCAAGGAGGCAAAUAACUAUAUACUCAGCGGCACACUUCUUAAUAGAGCACCCAAGUUGAGUUUGAACCGGGUUGAUCCAGUGAAAACAAUUAAACUAGAAUUAGAACAUCUAUGUAUGUUUCUUGUUGUUAAACUAACCAUAUAAGCUCUCUCUUUUUCGUCCAUUUUGUCAAAGUCCAUACCAAACAAAGCAAGAAUUUUUGCAACUCAGAAGCAUGUUUUUUUGAGUUGGUUAAGUAAAAGUUUCCGCGGUCCUCGCAUGACAUCUUAUCUGAUUUCGCUCUGAGCGAUUCAUCGAUAGUCUUAAUUUCAAUAACAGUUAUUUUUUUCAAUUAAUAACAAACCAAGUUUUGCACAUUAGUGAGCUUGAAUACACUUUUAAUGUUGUCUCGAAAAUCUUUGACGUGUUGUUCCACCAUUGUGGGAGUGGUCUUCUCAUUCAACUCGAUUUUCACCCCGAACCCCUUACUCAUCUCCUCCAUUGAUUUCUUCGAUUGUUCCUGCAUUUCUUUCAUCUUCGCGUCCAUGUCACCGCCAGCCUUCAAUUCUUCAGCGGAAGAUGCAACUGUAAUAGAAAAUGAGAGAAGCCAACUUCUUUGACCGCAAACCACAAAGCAUGACAAGAAGAAAUGUGCUUGGAAGCAUUUUGAUGGCAGUAGACAUCGGCAUCUGCGUGUUCUCUUGAUUGAGAAGACUGAUUUGUUUCUGUGUUUAGCCUGCUUAUAUAGCAAAAAUUUUCUGAUCUUAUCUUUUUGACCUUCUAGAAGGUCAAAAAUAAAAAAUAAUAAUUCAGCUCGUUUUGUUUAUUUUUUUUAGAACACGUGAAACUGUGAAGUAUUUUCUUGCUGUUUUUUAUAAUUCUAUGUUGAAAUAAAUAAUUCGGUUUGCUAAUGAGCUUCAAGGCUUGAAAACUACAGGCCUUGACCUGGCUGUGGUUCUUAAUGUGGUUCUGAGGGAUCAUAAUUAAAAAGCUUCACGCAUUUUUAACUAUAAUAACAAAACAUAUCACUAUGAGGAAAAUUUAUGUAUUUUUUCUUAAUUUUCGCAUUUUUUGUAUUCUUGUUUGAAUUUUGGCUUGAAUUUUUGGAAUUCAUUUUUGGAUAAAUUGAAAUAUUUUUGUACAUAGAGAAGGAUCGACGAAUUUGGCGAGAUAAACGAAUUUCGCAAUGAAACUUUUCAAAAAUAUUUAUGGCGGAAAAAUAACCCCAAUUUUAGCUAAAAUUCUGAACUUUGCCAGCUUUUCUGGGUCGCAGCGAUCCUUUAUUGCUUAGUUUGGUAGUAUAUCUCUUUUUUUUCGUUGAUUGAAGUACAUAUAAAGACGAUAUAAAACCAAAAUCAUUGAAAUUGGUUACCUAUAUUUAUUAAAUGUAAUCUUAUCAACGAAAUAAUGCGAGAAAAAUUACCACACUAUGAAAUAAAAUAUGAUCAUUUAAAAAACGUCAAUCUCGGUCCGCUGCGACACAGAAAAGUGGGCAAAAUUCAGAGUUUUGGCUAAAAUUAGCGUAUGUUUGUUCAUAAAUGUGGAACGUUCGUAAUCGUACUAGCCUUCAGACCUCCUUUAACUCACUGCCGGAAACAUCGUCUAGGUCAAACUUUGGAAACAAGUUUGAAAGCCUGAUUUUCAAACUAAAUUUUGACUGAAAACUUGAAAUACUUUGAAACUUCAAUAUCUUUCGACUGUGAGUAUUUCGAGAGUCAAAAGAAUUUGGCUACAUUGCCUGCUACCGUAAAACUGUAAUUUCUUCCACUUUUGCUUGAACGCAAGGUUUUUUAACACAGCUAAGGCAUGGGUAAAUCGGUGGGAGUAGAGAAUUUACUUGCCCUGUAAGAUCUGGUCAUUUAUUUCUGCAGAAAGAAUUGUUUCCCAAUUCCCAUUUUAAUCAAAUUUUAAAAAUUUUAAAUUUAUUUUAAUAAAAUAAUAAAAUCUUGAUAUUCCACGUGAAGGUCAAGCAAAAAAUUAAAUAAAAGUCGAUGAGACCAGAAUAGUUUUGAAUAAAUUCAGUUCUUGUUUUAAUCAAGACAUCUUCGGCCGUCGUCUCCAUUGCAUCAACAAACACAGCUUCUGAUGCCACCUUCUACCGCAAGCUUCAGCACCAGAUGCACUUGUUUAUUAAGCCACAUGCCCAGAAAGUAGCAGCUUCAGCUGCAGAUGCUCCACACACCUGCUCGUGAAGUUGUACAACCAACGCACCAAUCUGCGAACUUGUUUUGGUUUGUAAUAAAAUUGUUUUUUUAUAAAAAAAAAAAAUUAAAAAAAAGACAUGGCUGUCUAUGUCUCCUGAAAACUCACAGUCUCUUGCCGUGACCUCUUCAAAAUAUGUUCUAUAUGAGAGGCCCCUUUGUUAUAGUGACGUCAUUUCUGUACUUCUCUAGGUUCUCUUCCUCUUUUGCUCGCCCCAGACAGUGUGCUCCAUAUCAUAUUUGAGAUUGAAAUCUGUGCUGAAAUAUUUUGAGACAAACCUUAGAUGCCAUAGAUCUUUAAAUAGGAGCCAAAUUAUAAACCGAUGCACUUCCUUCAGGUUCGAACUAUCCGUGCGAUGCCCUUUAUUUCCUAGUUUGUCAUAAAAUCUGCUUACUACAAAUCCAAAAGCUUUAUUGGGUCAAAUUAUAAUAAGUCUGCAAAUCAUAUUUGAGUUGAAAUUGUUAUAAAACAAUUUUAUGUGAAUUCAGUUUUUCCUAAAAUUUUACUUUUUGUCUUAUACAUAAACUUGAAAAGAAAAACUGAAAAAACACAGAAGAAAUAGAGUUAUUAAAAAUCUUCUCUGGGCUGUACUUUGAAGUUCAAUCUCCAUUCCUCUUGAAAUUCCUCGUAGUCGAUGGCGAGCUCAGAGAAAUUGUCGAUGUUCAUGGCAACACUUGGUGGCUCCAUUAACCUGUAAAAAAAUAAAAUUCACCGUUCUUUAACAAACCAGUACAUUUUCUACACUAAAAUACGUGAAACCCAGCUAGAAAUUGCAAAAAAAAAGCUCACCGCCUCGAUAUUGCCGGUCCGAAAUACUUCAAUAGCCGGGCAGAACUCGCUUUUACAUCGUCUUUAGACCAAUACGGUCCAACCGAAAAAUGGGUUCCAACUUCUUUUCCAUGCUCCAGCAAUGAUGAAUGAACUUGAAGGUCUCUCCGAUAUCAAAGUAUCGUGCAUGUACCCUUUUAUUAAAGACCAGACGCAUGCUUUUAAUAUCCGGAACAACCAAGAGCAGGACAUUUUGGAUUAUUGGGUGUUUGAUAUGUAGAUUUCUCAAUAUUCUCAAAGCUUUCAAUGGGAAGGUUGAAGGGUGGAAGAUCGAGGGGAGAGAUUCCAGUGUUUCGCGUAAAUUUCCAGUGUAAAUCUCCAAAGUAUCGGUGACAAGAUUCCUUGCGUUUUGGAAAGCAUCAAUAUCCAUUCUAAUGCAAGUAUGCUUUGCGAUAAUUUUCCUAUCUCCCAGAAUCUUUUUCAGCACAUAUGAUGGCAUCACUUUCCCGAAAGUCGUAUUUAAAGCCACUCGUUCAGUACUAGUACGACCAUCAAUUUCUAGCCCUAGGAGAACAUAUUCUUGACUUGAUUUUCUCGCCUUCCUAGUAGUUUUAGUUGUCUUGUAGUAAGUCUCAUUGAUUUUAAGAUUUUCUUGGUUCCAACAUAGCUCUCGAAUAUGUAAUGGAGAGGUUUUCUCACAAAGUUGGAGAGAUGGGCAUCGCAUGGAUAAUUGAAUUCUUAAGAAAGUUUAGCGGUUUAUAAAAUGCACAAAACUUUUGUCUCACCUUAAAUUUGGCUCCAAAUAUUUCAGUACAGAUUUCAAAUUCAAAUAGGAGAGUUGCAUGGUGAGUCGAUAUGAUUUGUGGAGGACACUGUCUGUGGGUGGAGCAGAAAAGAGCAAACUGUCAGCAGCGAGCAAAGUUCUGCCAAAUCAAUUGUAUGUUACGACUAAAAUAUUGAAUUGGGUACAUUGAUAAGAAGUCAAAAAGGCAGUGCGUUCAAAAACUCAUGCAAAUACCUGGCGCGAUGCGUGCAUUGCACACAAAGUAAGUUUUUGCUUACUUUUAAUAUUCCAGUUGUAAAAUUUAUUUCAGACCAUGUUGGAUCAUCCUACCAGCAAGCGACGAUUUGGAAAUCCAUGUCACUGUCACUCAAGAUAAGAUAAAUUCGAAGCAAUUCAGCAUAAAGUUAACCGUUUAUUGAAUAUUUACUGGAUUUUCAAAUUCUAAUAAAAUUUCUAAAUAAUUCUUACUGGGGUUUCACGUCUUCUCUGAACAGUUGGUGUGGCCUAUGUAAAACUCUGUGAAAGAUUUGUUGUCUAUGUCUCCUGAAAACACACAGUCUUUUGACGUGACCUCUUCAAUGUUGUGUGCACGUCGUCUGAGAGACAUUUGACGGCACUUCUGUUUACCUUCAGGCUCUCUUGCUCGCUGCUGACAGUUUGCUCUUUUCUGCUCCACCCACAGACAGUGUCCUCCACAAAUCAUAUCGACUCACCAUGCAACUCUCCUAUUUGAAUUUGAAAUCUGUACUGAAAUAUUUGGAGCCAAAUUUGAG